AUUGAACGCUGGCGGCAGGCCUAACACAUGCAAGUCGAGCGGCAGCACGGGUACUUGUACCCGGUGGCGAGCGGCGGACGGGUGAGUAAUGCCUAGGAAUCUGCCUGGUAGUGGGGGAUAACGUCCGGAAACGGACGCUAAUACCGCAUACGUCCUACGGGAGAAAGCAGGGGACCUUCGGGCCUUGCGCUAUCAGAUGAGCCUAGGUCGGAUUAGCUAGUUGGUGAGGUAACGGCUCACCAAGGCGACGAUCCGUAACUGGUCUGAGAGGAUGAUCAGUCACACUGGAACUGAGACACGGUCCAGACUCCUACGGGAGGCAGCAGUGGGGAAUAUUGGACAAUGGGCGAAAGCCUGAUCCAGCCAUGCCGCGUGUGUGAAGAAGGUCUUCGGAUUGUAAAGCACUUUAAGUUGGGAGGAAGGGCAGUUACCUAAUACGUAUCUGUUUUGACGUUACCGACAGAAUAAGCACCGGCUAACUCUGUG
rnacentral:rRNA from 1 species